AUUGAACGCUGGCGGCAUGCUUUACACAUGCAAGUCGAACGGCAGCACGGGCUUCGGCCUGGUGGCGAGUGGCGAACGGGUGAGUAAUGCAUCGGAACGUGCCCAUUUGUGGGGGAUAACUACGCGAAAGCGUGGCUAAUACCGCAUACGCCCUGAGGGGGAAAGCGGGGGAUUCUUCGGAACCUCGCGCAAUUGGAGCGGCCGAUGUCAGAUUAGCUUGUUGGUGAGGUAAAGGCUCACCAAGGCGACGAUCUGUAGCGGGUCUGAGAGGAUGAUCCGCCACACUGGGACUGAGACACGGCCCAGACUCCUACGGGAGGCAGCAGUGGGGAAUUUUGGACAAUGGGGGCAACCCUGAUCCAGCCAUGCCGCGUGAGUGAAGAAGGCCUUCGGGUUGUAAAGCUCUUUCAGCCGGGAAGAAAACGCACUCUCUAACAUAGGGUGUGGAUGACGGUACCGGACCAAGAAGCACCGGCUAACUACGUG
rnacentral:rRNA from 1 species